UACGUAGGGGGCAAGCGUUGUCCGGAAUCAUUGGGCGUAAAGCGCGUGUAGGCGGCUUGGUAAGUCCGUUCUGAAAGCCCGGGGCUCAACCCCGGGAGGCGGAUGGAUACUGUCAAGCUUGAGUCCGGAAGAGGCGAGUGGAAUUCCCGGUGUAGCGGUGAAAUGCGCAGAUAUCGGGAGGAACACCAAUGGCGAAGGCAGCUCGCUGGGACGUUACUGACACUGAGGCGCGAAAGCAUGGGGAGCGAACAGG
rnacentral:rRNA from 1 species